CCCUUCCCACUUCCAAUUUCCGGCAUGCGCGACUUCCUGUUCCGGCAAUGGGCUACAAAGCUUUGCGCCGGGGCUGGGGGCUCCCUUUCUCGGAGUCGCUUGUGGGGUGUCUGCUCCCGUGGUGAGCUGCCUCUGAAGUGGCAAAGGGGCCUGUGAGUCAUCCUUUUCCAGAGUUCCAGAAUGGAGACUGAAGGAGACCCAAAGGCA